AUUUGAGAGUGGUAAGUUGUAUCACCAGCUCCACUGCUAGAAUCCUAACAGGAGUUUCUUUCCCAAGUGAAAAUAUCUAAUAGCAUACUACAAUAUCUCCCUCAUUUUCUUCUUUCUCCCCAAAAGUUGGAAUAAUUCAACAUAUCUACUACAAAAAGAAAACAAACCCACUAGAGCCAAGCAGGAAAGCAGUGCCUCCUCUGUCUUUAUCCUGGUUUCAGUGAUAGUCUCUCACAGCUCAGGGCAUGGUCAACGUGCUGAAUAAACAUGAUACAUACGCUGAUAUUCUGGAGUUACUGUGGGAAUAUUUGCCACUCAUGUCACUGCCACUCAUGACACUGCUAGUUUCAGAGAAGAGGUCUGACUCUUGACCGUGGGGUGCCUCAUCAUCUAGAGGAGAAGAACCAGACAGCAUGAAAACUACCUGCAAAUGAGGGUUUACCUUCAGUGGGGGAUACAGCGAACACCAGAGUAUUCUAGAACUGAUAACACUCAUCUGUUACCGAGGAACCAUCUGCAAAGGUUCUUCUUUUUAUUAUUAUUUUUUGGGCCGCGCCACACAGCAUGCAGGAUCUUAGUUCCCCGACCAGGGGUCAAACCCGAGGCCCCUGCAGUGGAAGUGCAGAGUCUAAACCACUGGACCACCAGAGAUUGAGAGGCUGAGGCUCAGGAAACUUCUCAUUGUCGCCUUGAGAUUUAGUGGACACUCAGGUCCACCUCCAAAGUACACACUCUUUCUACUUAAUGCUAUCAGUUCCUGGGUCACUGCUCUAAGUGUAUUCCUUUGGCUAGCAUUUUUAUUUGCUACAGUGGUACCAUCCAUGAAGAGAAAGCACUGAUGACUUGUGAUAAUUUACAUGUCAACUUGGCUAGGCUAUGGUGUCUAGUUGUUUGAUCAAACACUAGUCUAGACGUUGCUGAGAAGGUAUUCUGCGGAUGUCAUUAACCUUUAUAAUCAGCUGACUUUAAGUACAGCAGACUAUCCUCCAUAAUGUGGAUAAAUCUCAACCAAAGAGUUCAUAGAGCCUAAGAGCAAAAACUAAGGCCUCCCAUGGAAAACGGAAUUUUGCUUCAAGACCGUAACAGAGAAUCUUGCCCGAGUUUCCAGACUGUGGGCCUGUCCCACAGAUUUUGGACUCAAGACUGCAACAUCAACUCUUCACUGAAUUUCCAACCAGCCAGCUUACCCUGAUUCUAUUUCUCUAGAGACCCUGCCUGAUACAUAACUGAAAUCCAUCCCACCAAAAGCUAACCACUCCCUCAUCUCUACCUACGCCCCUCAGUUAUCUCUGAUUUCCAUUACAAGACUAAGUGAAAAGGAUAAAGGAAACUCCAUGGCCUACUACUUUCAAUUACAUUAUAUGGGGCAGGAGGCUGAGGUACUAGAGCUGUCUUACCAUAGGUUUUUAGAGUGGAAUUUUCUUCCCUCUGAAGGUCUUCCAGCCAAACUGCAAGCACAGUGGAAUCUGCAUUCCAGAGAAGGUCAUUAACCUAGGAGGGAAAAAAGACCUGUCACUGGCCUUUAUGUAUUUACCUCAAAAUCUUUAUGAUAGCUGAAUUCCCUGCUCUCACAAGUCAAAUAAUCCCACACUUGAGUUGAUCCCUAGCUGUAAAUUACUAACCUAUGGAGUUAUUAAAAAAAUCUCUGUCAUCAUAUGUAGAGGACUUCAAAAAAAUGCAUUAUGUUUAAAUACUUAACCAAAUGAAGGUGACAUUUUUAGACAAUCAAGAAUAUUUGAAUAUGGACUAGAUAUUAGAUAAUAUUAAGGAAUUAUUACUAACUUUGUAAGGUAUCAUAAUGGAAUUGUGGUUGUAUUAAGAAAAAUGUUCUCAACUGUUAGAGAAAUGAAUAUUGAAAAUAUGAUUUUUAAAAUUAAAACCCUAGGAAAUUUUUACAAAGUGUGCGUGUAGGGGGCGGGGCAGAGAGUGAAGAAUAGAUGAAAAUAAUUUUGCAGAACGCUGGUACAUAUCUGUUGAAAGUAAGUAAUAGGUACAUAGGAGUUCAUUAAACUCUUCUCUCAACUUUUAAUAUAUUAAAAUUUUUACAUAAUUAAAAAUUAACCAUGAUUUGUUUUCGCUCCAGUGAAGAUCCAAAUGGUACACAACCUCCUUAAGGUUUACAUGUUAAAAAUGGCAAGUAUCUUUAUCACUGGAAGAAUUAUGCUUUUGUCAAAAUAAACAAUAAAAACUGGCGUUUCUAUUUC